rnacentral:rRNA from 1 species
UACGGAAGGCAGCAGUGGGGAAUAUUGCACAAUGGGCGAAAGCCUGAUGCAGCUAUGCCGCGUGUAUGAAGAAGGCCUUAGGGUUGUAAAGUACUUUCAUCGGGGAGGAAAAACAAAACUAAUAAUUUUAUUUCUUGACGUUACCCGAAAAAGAAGCACCGGCUAACUCCGUGCCAGCAGCCGCGGUAAUACGGAGGGUGCUAGCGUUAAUCAGAAUUACUGGGCGUAAAGAGCACGUAGGUGGUUUUUUUAAGUCAGAUGUGAAUCCCUGGGCUUAACCUGGAACUGCAUUUUGAAACUGAAAUACUAGAGUAUCGUAGAGGGAGGUAGAAUUCUAGGUGUAGCGGUGAAAUGCGUAGAUAUCUGGAGGAUACCUGUGGCGAAAGCGGCCUCCUAAACGAAUACUGACACUGAGGUGCGAAAGCGUGGGGAGCGAAACAGGGAUUAGAUACC